UACGGAGGGGGGCUAGCGUUGUUCGGAAUUACUGGGCGUAAAGCGCACGUAGGCGGCGAUUUAAGUCAGAGGUGAAAGCCCGGGGCUCAACCCCGGAAUUGCCUUUGAGACUGGAUUGCUAGAAUCUUGGAGAGGCGAGUGGAAUUCCGAGUGUAGAGGUGAAAUUCGUAGAUAUUCGGAAGAACACCAGUGGCGAAGGCGGCUCACUGGUCCGGUACUGACGCUGAGGUGCGAAAGCGUGGGGAGCAAACAGG
rnacentral:rRNA from 1 species